UGGGGAAUAUUGCGCAAUGGGCGAAAGCCUGACGCAGCAACGCCGCGUGGGGGAUGAAGGUUCUCGGAUUGUAAACCCCUUUCGAUCGGAACGAAUCCCCUCCUGGUGAACAAUCAGGAGGAUCGACGGUACCGAGAGAAGAAGCCACGGCUAACUCUGUGCCAGCAGCCGCGGUAAGACAGAGGUGGCUAGCGUUGUUCGGAUUUAUUGGGCGUAAAGCGCACGCAGGCGGUUUGGUAAGUCAGAGGUGAAAUUCCGCAGCUUAACUGCGGGACUGCCUUUGAUACUGCCUUUCUCGAGUGCAUGAGGGGGAAGCGGAAUUCCGGGUGUAGAGGUGAAAUUCGUAGAUAUCCGGAGGAACACCGGUGGCGAAGGCGGCUUCCUGGCAUGUAACUGACGCUCAGGUGCGAAAGCGUGGGGAGCAAACAGGAUUAGAUACCCUGGUAGUCCACGCCCUAAACGAUGGGCACUAGGUGUGGGAGGUAUCGACCCCUCCCGUGCCGCAGCUAACGCAUUAAGUCGUCCGCCUGGGGAGUACGGCCGCAAGGUUG
rnacentral:rRNA from 1 species